GGACGAUGAGGAUAGAGGAAGUCGGGGCAACCCGGCUGGGCGUGAAAUUCAGC
rnacentral:ncRNA from 1 species